CGAGUGAAGCGGCAACAGCUCAAAUUUGAAAUCUGGCCCCCCGCGGGCCCGAGUUGUACUUUGGAGAGGACGCUUCUGGCGCGGCGCCGUCCGAGUUCCCUGGAACGGGACGCCGGAGAGGGUGAGAGCCCCGUACGGGCGGCCGCCUAGCCUCUGCGAAGCUCCUUCGACGAGUCGAGUAGUUUGGGAAUGCUGCUCAAAAUGGGAGGUAAAUUUCUUCUAAAGCUAAAUACCGGCCAGAGACCGAUAGCGCACAAGUAGAGUGAUCGAAAGAUGAAAAGCACUUUGAAAAGAGGGUCAAACAGUACGUGAAAUUGUUGAAAGGGAAGCGCCUGUGGCCAGACUUGCGCCCCGCGGACCACCCGGCGCCUCGCGCGCCGGGGCACGCCAGCGGGGCGCAGGCCAGCAUCGGCUCUCUCGGGGGGACAAAGGCCGCGGGAACGUAGCGCCCUCGCGGCGUAUUAUAGCCCGCGGCGCCAUGCCCCCGGGGGGGCCGAGGACCGCGCUCCGGCAAGGAUGCUGGCGUAAUGGCCACCGGCGACCCGUCUUGAAACACGGACCAAGGAGUCAAGCAUUGGGGCGAGUGUCUGGGUGGCAAGCCCGCACGCGGAAUGAAAGUGAACGCAGGUGGGAGCUUCGGCGCACCACCGACCGAUCCUGAUGUCCUCGGAUGGAUUUGAGUAGGAGCCCCGCCGCUUGGACCCGAAAGAUGGUGAACUAUGCCUGUAUAGGGUGAAGCCAGAGGAAACUCUGGUGGAGGCCCGCAGCGGUUCUGACGUGCAAAUCGAUCGUC
rnacentral:rRNA from 1 species